rnacentral:lncRNA from 1 species
UUUCCAUGCAAAAUAGAAUGUUGAUCUAUUUUAAAGACCAUCCACUUUGUUGUGUCACAAAUGAAGACAGUAACAACACCUUGGGUCCUAGGUAAGGCAGUCCACACUGUGGAGUUACUGAGAGGAUCCAUCUGCUAGGAAUGCUGUGUUUAAUUUGGGGGGGGAGACUAGGACAGCAGUGUCCCUCAUUUGGAAAGAGUAGGACCGAAAGCUCUGGUGAAGGCAUCCUCUGUAGAUCAGAAGGCUCCAAUUCAAAGCAUUUGUCGCACCAGUUUUGGCUUGACCACCUCGUAUCAUUCACCCAGACUUGAUAUUUCUCUUUGUACCUAUGAUCCAGAACCUUGGCAUAGGCAUGGACAUAACCAUAGGAGGUUUGAUCUGGUCUGGUUUUGCUCUGAUACAGCUCCCAGCACACAUAGUCAUGACAGGAUGCGGCAGCUGCAUGUGCCUUUCCUUGCCUGUGUGUAUCCUACUGUAUCACUGCAGUACAGAGUAUCCCAUUCUUGACUCUUCGAGAUGUACAGGCCCACUGUAAGAAACAAGUGACACUGUCUCAUUCUUUCCCUUGAAAUGGAGAAUCUGUCAAACAAGGAGAGGCUGAGAACCGGGUCUGUUGAGGCUGAGAAGAAAAAGCUCAGGGCAGAGUUUAUCAACAUCUGAUGGGUGAAAUAAGGAUGAAGCCACACUCAUCCUAGUAGCAUCCAGUAACAGGCAGUUAUUCUCCUGUGAGAAGCAAUCGUCACAAAUAUAAAAUAAAUUCCACCUAAAUGUAAAAAGCCCUUCCUUA